rnacentral:tRNA from 1 species
GGGGUUGUGGCUCAGUAGUAGAGCGCUCGCCUAGCACGUAGGAGGUCCUGGGUUCAAUACUCAGCACCA